GUCUUCGUGGCUCAGUUGGCUAGAGCGUUGGUCUCAUAUUCUAUGAUCCGAUCCAAGAUCGGGCUAUCCAAAGGUCGUGAGUUCGAGCCUCACCGAGGACA
rnacentral:tRNA from 1 species